CACCCGCAGCUCGAGUGGUGGUCACUUUUAUUGAGCCUAAGGCGUUUGUAGCCGGUUUUGCAAAUCUUCAGAUAAAUUCCUCUGCUUAACAGAUGAUCUUCUGAAGAGACUGCGAGACUUGGGACCGGGUGAGGUUGAAGGUACUUCCGGGGUAGGGGUAAAAUCCUGUAAUCCUGGAAGGACGACCGGUGGCGAAGGCGUUCAACUAGAACGGAUCCGACGGUGAGGAACGAGGGCUAGGGUAGCAAACCGGAUUAGAUACCCGGGUAGUCCUAGCUGUAAACACUGCCCACUUGGUGUUGCCCCUCCGAUGAGGGGAGGCAGUGCCGGAGCGAAGGUGUUAAGUGGGCCGCUUGGGGAGUAUGGUCGCAAGGCUGAAACUUAAAGGAAUUGGCGGGGGAGCACCGCAACGGGAGGAGCGUGCGGUUUAAUUGGAUUCAACGCCGGAAAACUCACCGGGAGCGACCUUUGGAUGAGAGUCAGCCUGAUGAGCUUACUCGAUAGAAGGAGAGGUGGUGCAUGGCCGUCGUCAGCUCGUACCGUAGGGCGUUCACUUAAGUGUGAUAACGAGCGAGACCCCCAUCUCUAAUUACUAACGUGCAUUCGCGUGCACGCGCACUUUAGAGGGACCGCCAGUGCUAAACUGGAGGAAGGAGGGGUCGACGGCAGGUCAGUACGCCCCGAAUCUCCCGGGCAACACGCGCGCUACAAAGGGCAGGACAAUGAGUUGCCACCUCGAAAGGGGGAGCUAAUCUCGAAACCUGUUCGUAGUUAGGAUUGAGGGCUGUAACUCGCCCUCAUGAAUGUGGAUUCCGUAGUAAUCGCGGGUCAACAGCCCGCGGUGAAUAUGCCCCUGCUCCU
rnacentral:rRNA from 1 species